AAGUCGAGCGGGGUGAUGUAGCUUGCUACAUUACCUAGCGGCGGACGGGUGAGUAAUGCUUAGGAAUCUGCCUAUUAGUGGGGGACAACAUUCCGAAAGGAAUGCUAAUACCGCAUACGCCCUACGGGGGAAAGCAGGGGAUCUUCGGACCUUGCGCUAAUAGAUGAGCCUAAGUCAGAUUAGCUAGUUGGUGGGGUAAAGGCCUACCAAGGCGACGAUCUGUAGCGGGUCUGAGAGGAUGAUCCGCCACACUGGGACUGAGACACGGCCCAGACUCCUACGGGAGGCAGCAGUGGGGAAUAUUGGACAAUGGGCGAAAGCCUGAUCCAGCCAUGCCGCGUGUGUGAAGAAGGCCUUUUGGUUGUAAAGCACUUUAAGCGAGGAGGAGGCUACUUGGAUUAAUACUCUAAGAUAGUGGACGUUACUCGCAGAAUAAGCACCGGCUAACUCUGUGCCAGCAGCCGCGGUAAUACAGAGGGUGCGAGCGUUAAUCGGAUUUACUGGGCGUAAAGCGUGCGUAGGCGGCUUUUUAAGUCGGAUGUGAAAUCCCUGAGCUUAACUUAGGAAUUGCAUUCGAUACUGGGAAGCUAGAGUAUGGGAGAGGAUGGUAGAAUUCCAGGUGUAGCGGUGAAAUGCGUAGAGAUCUGGAGGAAUACCGAUGGCGAAGGCAGCCAUCUGGCCUAAUACUGACGCUGAGGUACGAAAGCAUGGGGAGCAAACAGGAUUAGAUACCCUGGUAGUCCAUGCCGUAAACGAUGUCUACUAGCCGUUGGGGCCUUUGAGGCUUUAGUGGCGCAGCUAACGCGAUAAGUAGACCGCCUGGGGAGUACGGUCGCAAGACUAAAACUCAAAUGAAUUGACGGGGGCCCGCACAAGCGGUGGAGCAUGUGGUUUAAUUCGAUGCAACGCGAAGAACCUUACCUGGUCUUGACAUAGUAAGAACUUUCCAGAGAUGGAUUGGUGCCUUCGGGAACUUACAUACAGGUGCUGCAUGGCUGUCGUCAGCUCGUGUCGUGAGAUGUUGGGUUAAGUCCCGCAACGAGCGCAACCCUUUUCCUUAUUUGCCAGCGGGUUAAGCCGGGAACUUUAAGGAUACUGCCAGUGACAAACUGGAGGAAGGCGGGGACGACGUCAAGUCAUCAUGGCCCUUACGACCAGGGCUACACACGUGCUACAAUGGUCGGUACAAAGGGUUGCUACCUAGCGAUAGGAUGCUA
rnacentral:rRNA from 1 species